rnacentral:rRNA from 1 species
UACAUGCAACAAUGCCCAACCCUCACGGGAAGGGUGCACUUAUUAGAUCAAGACCAACCGGGUUUCGGCUCGAAGUUUUGAUGACUCUGGAUAAUUGUUUCGAUCGCACGGCCUUUGUGUCGGCGACGUUUCUUUCAAAUGUCUGCCCUAUCAACUAUAGAUGGUAGAUAAAUUGUCUACCAUGGUGAUAACGGGUAACGGGGAAUCAGGGUUCGAUUCCGGAGAGGGAGCCUGAGAAACAGCUACCACAUCCAAGGAAGGCAGCAGGCGCGCAAAUUACCCACUCUCAAAACGAGGAGGUAGUGACAAUAAAUAACGAUGCGGGACUCAAUCGAGGCCCCGUAAUCGGAAUGAGUACACUUUAAAUCCUUUAACGAGGAUCAAUUGGAGGGCAAGUCUGGUGCCAGCAGCCGCGGUAAUUCCAGCUCCAAUAGCGUAUAUUAAAGUUGUUGCAGUUAAAAAGCUCGUAGUUGGAUCUAAGGAUUUGGACGGAUGGUACGCUUUAGGGUGUCACUGUCUGUCUGGCCUAUAUUAGUCGUGGAAGCCUUUAGUGCUCUUCAUUGAGUGCUUUGGGUGCCCGACGCAAUUACUUUGAGAAAAUUAGAGUGCUUAAAGCAGGCAUAAUGCUUGUAUACUGUUGCAUGGAAUAAUGAAAUAGGAGUUUGCUUCUAUUUUGUUGGUUUUCGGAAGUGAACUAAUGAUUAACGGGGACAGACGGGGGCAUUUGUAUGGAGGCGCUAGAGGUGAAAUUCUGUGACCGUCUCCGACAAACUACUGCGAAAGCAUUUGCUAGGAAUGUUUUCAUUAAUCAAGAACGAAAGUCAGAGGUUCGAAGACGAUCAGAUACCGUCCUAGUUCUGACCAUAAAUGAUGCCAUCUAGCAAUUCCCGAAGUUUGCUUGUACGAACUUGGGAGCGGCCCCCGCGAAAGCAAAGAUUUUGGGUUCCGGGGGAAGUAUGGUUGCAAAGCUGAAACUUAAAGGAAUUGACGGAAGGGCACCACCAGGAGUGGAGCCUGCGGCUUAAUUUGACUCAACACGGGAAACCUCACCCGGCCCGGACACUGUAAUGAUUGACAGAUUAACAGCUCUUUCUUGAUUUGGUGGUUGGUGGUGCAUGGCCGUUCUUAGUUGGUGGAGUGAUUUGUCUGGUUAAUUCCGAUAACGAACGAGACUCUACCCUGCUAAAUAGUACGCAGAUAAUAAUUCUGUCUGUGCUGACUUCUUAGAGGGACUAACGGCGUUUAGCCGUGUGAGAAAGAGCAAUAACAGGUCUGUGAUGCCCUUAGAUGUUCGGGGCCGCACGCGCGCUACACUAAUUACAGCAACGGGUAUGCUCCUGGUUAGAAAUGACUGGGUAACCCGAUUGAAUCGUAAUUGUGACAGGGAUCGAGGUUUGCAAUUAUCUCUCGUGAACGAGGAAUUCCCAGUAAGCGCAAGUCAUUAGCUUGUGCUGAUUACGUCCCUGCCCUUUGUACACACCGCCCGUCGCUACUACCGAUUGAACGGUUUAGUGAGGUCCUUGGAUUGACUGUA